rnacentral:tRNA from 1 species
CCGAAGCGUGUUUGUACACAAAGAACUGCUAAUUCCUUGCCCCGACGUUAAACUCCUCGGACGCC